rnacentral:rRNA from 1 species
UGAGGAAUAUUGGUCAAUGGUAGGAAUACUGAACCAGCCAUGCCGCGUGCAGGAAGACGGCCUUAUGGGUUGUAAACUGCUUUUAUACGGGGAUAAACCUAUUUUUGCGAAGAUAGCUGAAGGUACCGUAUGAAUAAGCAUCGGCUAACUCCGUGCCAGCAGCCGCGGUAAUACGGAGGAUGCGAGCGUUAUCCGGAUUCAUUGGGUUUAAAGGGUGCGUAGGCGGACUAAUAAGUCAGUGGUGAAAUCCUUGAGCUUAACUUAAGAAUUGCCAUUGAUACUGUUAGACUAGAAUUCAAAUGGAGCAGGCGGAAUGAAUCAUGUAGAGGUGACAUUCAUAGAUAUGAUUCAGAACACCGAUCGCGAAGGCAGCUUGCUAAGAUGAAAUUGACGCUGAUGCACGAAAGCGUGGGUAGCAAACA